rnacentral:rRNA from 1 species
ACGAACGCUGGCGGCAUGCCUUACACAUGCAAGUCGAACGGCAGCACGGGUGCUUGCACCUGGUGGCGAGUGGCGAACGGGUGAGUAAUACAUCGGAACAUGUCCUGUAGUGGGGGAUAGCCCGGCGAAAGCCGGAUUAAUACCGCAUACGAUCUACGGAUGAAAGCGGGGGACCUUCGGGCCUCGCGCUAUAGGGUUGGCCGAUGGCUGAUUAGCUAGUUGGUGGGGUAAAGGCCUACCAAGGCGACGAUCAGUAGCUGGUCUGAGAGGACGACCAGCCACACUGGGACUGAGACACGGCCCAGACUCCUACGGGA